CCUGGUUGAUUCUGCCAUUAGUCAUAUGCUUGUCUCAAAGAUUAAGCCAUGCAUGUCUAAGUAUAAACACGUUAUACUGUGAAACUGCGAAUGGCUCAUUAAAUCAGUUAUAGUUUAUUUGAUGGUUUUUGCUACAUGGAUAACUGUGGUAAUUCUAGAGCUAAUACAUGCGUACAAGCCCCGACUUCUGGAAGGGGUGUAUUUAUUAGAUAAAAAUCAACACUGUUGGUGAAUCAUGAUAACUUCUCGGAUCGCAUGGCCUCGUGCUGGCGAUACUUCAUUCAAAUAUCUGCCCUAUCAACUGUCGAUGGUAGGAUAGAGGCCUACCAUGGUUGCAACGGGUAACGGGGAAUAAGGGUUCGAUUCCGGAGAGGGAGCCUGAGAAACGGCUACCACAUCCAAGGAAGGCAGCAGGCGCGCAAAUUACCCAAUCCCGACACGGGGAGGUAGUGACAAUAUGUAACAAUAUACGGCUUUAUCGUCGUAUAAUUGGAAUGAGUACAAUUUAAAUCCCUUAACGAGGAACAAUUGGAGGGCAAGUCUGGUGCCAGCAGCCGCGGUAAUUCCAGCUCCAAUAGCGUAUAUUAAAGUUGUUGCAGUUAAAAAGCUCGUAGUUGGACCUUGGGCCUGGACGGGCGGUCCGCCUCACGGCGUGUACUGUCUUGCCGGGCCUUUCCUCUUGGUGAUCUGUUGUUUCGGCAGCAGGGAACCAGGACCUUUACUUUGAAAAAAUUAGAGUGUUCAAAGCAGGCUCGACGCCGGAAUAUAUUAGCAUGGAAUAAUAAAAUAGGACGUGCGGUUCUAUUUUGUUGGUUUUUGGAAUCGCCGUAAUGAUUAAUAGGGACAGUCGGGGGCAUUAGUACUCACAUGCU
rnacentral:rRNA from 1 species